GACGAACGCUGGCGGCGUGCCUAAUACAUGCAAGUUGAGCGCUGAAGGUUGGUACUUGUACCAACUGGAUGAGCAGCGAACGGGUGAGUAACGCGUGGGGAAUCUGCCUUUGAGCGGGGGACAACAUUUGGAAACGAAUGCUAAUACCGCAUAAAAACUUUAAACACAAGUUUUAAGUUUGAAAGAUGCAAUUGCAUCACUCAAAGAUGAUCCCGCGUUGUAUUAGCUAGUUGGUGAGGUAAAGGCUCACCAAGGCGAUGAUACAUAGCCGACCUGAGAGGGUGAUCGGCCACAUUGGGAAUGAGACACGGCCCAAACUCCUACGGGAGGCAGCAGUAGGGAAUCUUCGGCAAUGGACGAAAGUCUGACCGAGCAACGCCGCGUGAGUGAAGAAGGUUUUCGGAUCGUAAAACUCGGUUGGUAGAGAAGAACGUUGGUGAGAGUGGAAAGCUCAUCAAGUGACGGUAACUACCCAGAAAGGGACGGCUAACUACGUG
rnacentral:rRNA from 1 species